GCCGAGUUAGCUCAGUCGGUAGAGCACAUCACUCGUAACGAUGGGGUCGUAGGUUCGAUUCCUAUACUCGGCA
rnacentral:tRNA from 1 species